rnacentral:rRNA from 1 species
AGAGUUUGAUCCUGGCUCAGAACGAACGUUGGCGGCGUGGAUUAGGCAUGCAAGUCGUACGGGAUGCCAGAGCUUGCUCUGGUUAUCUAGUGGCGAACGGGUGAGUAACGCGUGGGAAACCUGCCCUCGAGUUGGGGAUAACACUUCCAACGAGGUGCUAAUACCGAAUAAGACCACAUUUCCGCAUGGUCAUGUGGUCAAAGGUGGCCUCUACUUAGGCUAUCGCUUGAGGAUGGUCCCGCGUCCCAUUAGCUUGUUGGUGGGGUAAUGGCCCACCAAGGCUACGAUGGGUAGCUGGUCUGAGAGGAUGGUCAGCCACACUGGGACUGAGAUACGGCCCAGACUCCUACGGGAGGCAGCAGUCGAGAGGCUUCGGCAAUGGGGGAAACCCUGACCGAGCGACGCCGCGUGCGCGAUGAAGGCCUUCGGGUUGUAAAGCGCUGUCGUGCGGGAAGAAAGGUUCAUCUGCAAACAGUGGAUGGACUAUGACGGUACCGCAAAAGGAAGCUCCGGCUAACUCCGUGCCAGCAGCCGCGGUAAUACGGGGGGAGCAAACGUUGUUCGGAUUUACUGGGCGUAAAGGGCGCGCAGGCGGCCUCGUCAGUGGGAUGUGAAAGGUCCUGGCUUAACCAGGGAAGUGCGUCCCAUACUGCGGGGCUUGAGUGCAGGAGAGGAUGGGGGAAUUCCCGGUGUAGCGGUGAAAUGCAUUGAUAUCGGGAGGAACACCAGUGGCGAAGGCGCCCAUCUGGACUGCUACUGACGCUGAGGCGCGAAAGCUGGGGGAGCAAACAGGAUUAGAUACCCUGGUAGUCCCAGCCGUAAACGGUGAGCACUAGGUGUGGGAGGCAUCGACCCCUUCCGUGCCGCAGCUAACGCAUUAAGUGCUCCGCCUGGGGAGUACGACCGCAAGGUUGAAACUCAAAGGAAUUGACGGGGGCCCGCACAAGCGGUGGAGCAUGUGGUUUAAUUCGAUGCAACGCGAAGAACCUUACCCAGGCUUGACAUGCGCUGGACCGGUGUGGAAACACACCUUCUCCGUAAGGGGCCGGUGCACAGGUGCUGCAUGGCUGUCGUCAGCUCGUGUCGUGAGAUGUUGGGUUAAGUCCCGCAACGAGCGCAACCCUUGUCAUUAGUUGCUAACAAGUAAAGUUGAGCACUCUAGUGAGACUGCCGUCGAUAGGACGGAGGAAGGUGGGGAUGACGUCAAGUCCUCAUGC